rnacentral:misc_RNA from 1 species
GAUGAAGAACGUAGUGAAAUGCGAUACGUAAUGUGAAUUGCAGAAUUCAGUGAAUCAUCGAGUCUUUGAACGCACAUUGCGCCCCCUGGUAUUCCGGGGGGCAUGCCUGUCCGAGCGUCAUUGCUGCCCUCAAGCACGGCUUGUGUGUUGGGCCUCCGUCCUCCUCCCGGGGGACGGGCCCGAAAGGCAGCGGCGGCACCGCGUCCGGUCCUCGAGCGUAUGGGGCUUCGUCACCCGCUCUUGUAGGCCUGGCCGGCGCUUGCCGACACAUCAAUCUUUUUUCCAGGUUGACCUCGGAUCAGGUAGGGAUACCCGCUGAACUUAAGCAUAUCAAUAAGCGGAGGA